CCUACGGGUGGCAGCAGUGAGGAAUAUUUGUCAAUGGGCGCGAGCCUGCACCAGCCAAGUAGCGUGAAGGAUGACUGCCCUACGGGUUGUAACCUUCUUUUAUAAAGGAAUAAAGUGAGGCACGUGUGCCUUUUGUAUGUACUUUAUGAAUAAGGAUCGGCUAACUCCGUGCCAGCAGCCGCGGUAAUACGGAGGAUCCGAGCUUUAUCCGGAUUUAUUGGGUUUAAAGGGAGCGUAGAUGGGUUGUUAAGUCAGUUGUGAAAGUUUGCGGCUCAACCGUAAAAUUGCAAUUGGUACUGGCAGUCUUGAGUACAGUUGAGGUAGGCGGAAUUCGUGGUGUAGCGGUGAAAUGCUUAGAUAUCACGAAGAACUCCGAUUGCGAAGGCAGCUUACUAAACUGCCACUGACAUUGAUGCUCGAAAGUGUGGGUAUCAAACAGGAUUAGAUACCCUGGUAGUC
rnacentral:rRNA from 1 species